AUUGAACGCUGGCGGCAGGCUUAACACAUGCAAGUCGAGCGGAGAUGAGGUGCUUGCACCUUAUCUUAGCGGCGGACGGGUGAGUAAUGCUUAGGAAUCUGCCUAUUAGUGGGGGACCACAUUCCGAAAGGAAUGCUAAUACCGCAUACGUCCUACGGGAGAAAGCAGGGGGUCUUCGGACCUUGCGCUAAUAGAUGAGCCUAAGUCGGAUUAGCUAGUUGGUGGGGUAAAGGCCUACCAAGGCGACGAUCUGUAGCGGGUCUGAGAGGAUGAUCCGCCACACUGGGACUGAGACACGGCCCAGACUCCUACGGGAGGCAGCAGUGGGGAAUAUUGGACAAUGGGGGGAACCCUGAUCCAGCCAUGCCGCGUGUGUGAAGAAGGCCUUAUGGUUGUAAAGCACUUUAAGCGAGGAGGAGGCUACUGAGACUAAUACUCUUGGAUAGUGGACGUUACUCGCAGAAUAAGCACCGGCUAACUCUGUGCCAGCAGCCGCAGUAACAC
rnacentral:rRNA from 1 species